rnacentral:rRNA from 1 species
GACAGAGGUGCCGAGCGUUAGGCGGAAUCACUGGGCUUAAAGCGUGUGUAGGCGGGCGGGCAAGUACCUUGUGAAAUCCCACGGCUCAACCGUGGAACGGCUGGGUAUACUGCCUGUCUUGAGCCGGCUAGGGGCGAGCGGAACAGACGGUGGAGCGGUGAAAUGCGUAGAUAUCGUCUGGAACGCCGAAGGUGAAAACAGCUCGCUGGGGCCGCGCUGACGCUGAGACACGAAAGCCAGGGGAGCGAACGGG